CACUAUGGCCAUGCUACCCUGAAGAAGCCCAAUCCCGUCUGAUCUCGGAAGCUAAGCAGGGUCGGGCCUGGUUAGUACUUGGAUGGGAGACCACCUAGGAAUACCAGGUUCUGUAGGCG
rnacentral:rRNA from 1 species